rnacentral:tRNA from 1 species
CAAAAAGUAGCUUAAACUAAAGCACUUGACUUACAAUCAAGCUAUAUUAAAACACUAAUCUUUUUGA